rnacentral:rRNA from 1 species
UACAGAGGUCCCAAGCGUUGUUCGGAUUCACUGGGCGUAAAGGGUGCGUAGGUGGCCAGGUAAGUUCGGUGUGAAAGCUCGGAGCUUAACUCCGAAAUGGCAUUGAAUACUAUCUGGCUAGAGGGUCGGAGGGGAGACUGGAAUUCUCGGUGUAGCAGUGAAAUGCGUAGAUAUCGUAAGGAAGACCAGUGGCGAAGGCGAAUCUCUGGACAGUUACUGACACUGAGGCACGAAGGCCAGGGGAGCAAACGGG